GACUCUCGACAACGGAUAUCUCGGCUCCCGCAUCGAUGAAGAACGUAGCAAAAUGCGAUACUUGGUGUGAAUUGCAGAAUCCCGUGAACCAUCGAGUCUUUGAACGCAAGUUGCGCCCGAAGCCAUCCGGUGGAGGGCACGCCUGCCUGGGCGUCACGCAUCG
rnacentral:rRNA from 1 species